rnacentral:rRNA from 1 species
UACAGAGGUCUCAAGCGUUGUUCGGAUUCAUUGGGCGUAAAGGGUGCGUAGGCGGCGCGGUAAGUCGGGUGUGAAAUCUUGGAGCUUAACUCCGAAAACUGCAUUCGAUACUGCGGUGCUUGAGGACUGGAGAGGAGACUGGAAUUCAUGGUGUAGCAGUGAAAUGCGUAGAGAUCAUGAGGAAGACCAGUGGCGAAGGCGGGUCUCUGGACAGUUCCUGACACUGAGACACGAAGGCCAGGGGAGCAAACGGGG